CGGGUGAGUAAUACAUAAGUAACCUGCCCUAGACAGGGGGAUAACUAUUGGAAACGAUAGCUAAGACCGCAUAGGUACGGACACUGCAUGGUGACCGUAUUAAAAGUGCCUCAAAGCACUGGUAGAGGAUGGACUUAUGGCGCAUUAGCUGGUUGGCGGGGUAACGACCCACCAAGGCGACGGUGCGUAGCCGACCUGAGAGGGUGACCGGCCACACUGGGACUGAGACACGGCCCAG
rnacentral:rRNA from 1 species